rnacentral:rRNA from 1 species
CCUACGGGAGGCAGCAGUGAGGAAUAUUGGACAAUGGGCGCAAGCCUGAUCCAGCCAUGCCGCGUGCAGGAAGACGGUCCUAUGGAUUGUAAACUGCUUUUGUACAGGAAGAAACACUCCCUCGUGAGGGAGCUUGACGGUACUGUAAGAAUAAGGAUCGGCUAACUCCGUGCCAGCAGCCGCGGUAAUACGGAGGAUCCAAGCGUUAUCCGGAAUCAUUGGGUUUAAAGGGUCCGUAGGCGGUUUAAUAAGUCAGUGGUGAAAUCUGGUCGCUCAACGAUCAAACGGCCAUUGAUACUGUUAGACUUGAAUUAUUAGGAAGUAACUAGAAUAUGUAGUGUAGCGGUGAAAUGCUUAGAUAUUACAUGGAAUACCAAUUGCGAAGGCAGGUUACUACUAAUGGAUUGACGCUGAUGGACGAAAGCGUGGGGAGCGACAGGAUUAGAUACCCUGGUAGUCCACGCCGUAAACGAUGGAUACUAGCUGUUCGGAGCAAUCUGAGUGGCUAAGCGAAAGUGAUAAGUAUCCACCUGGGGAGUACGUUCGCAGAAUGAAACUCAAAUGAAUUGACCGGNGNGAGAGAGCGAGAGACGAGAGGAGAGG